CUCAUGAUCCUAAGGCCAUCCAAGCUUCAAAUCAAGGACCUUGGAACAUCCAAGGGGAUGUCUUGUUUAUGUCAACCGAAGGCUUAAACACUUGGAAGGUUAGGGGAAGCAAACGGAAAGCAAGAGGGAAGCUAUGUUACAAGGUAUAAAGGGCAUGGAGGAAAAGUCAAGGAUGAGGAAUGCA